rnacentral:rRNA from 1 species
GACGAACGCUGGCGGCGUGCUUAACACAUGCAAGUCGAACGGGCCUUGUCCCCUUUUUUGUGGGGGGUGGGGUGAGUGGCGGACGGGUGAGUAACACUUAAGUAACCUGCCCCUUAGGUCUAGAUAACGGAUUGAAAGGGUAGCCAAUACAGGGGGUUCUGGCCUGCUGGCGGGGGUGGGUAUGUUCGGCGGCUGGGGAUGGGGUUGGGGUUGAUGAGGUUGUGGGUGGGGGAGUGUCAUACCAUGGCUUUGAUGGGGAGCCGGCCUGGGUGGGUGAGCGGACACAUUGGGCCUGAGAGAGGGCCCGGACUCCUACGGGAGGCAGCAGGGGGGAAUAUUGCACAAUGGGCGGAAGCCUGAUGCAGCAACGCCGCGUGCGGGAUAACGGCCUUCGGGUGGUAAACCGCUUUCGCCUGUGGCGAAGCGUGAGUGACGGUAAUGGGUAAAGAAGCACCGGCUAACUACGUG